rnacentral:rRNA from 1 species
AAAGAAAAUAACAAUGAUUCCCCUAGUAACUGCGAGUGAAGAGGGACAAGCUCAAAUUUUAAAUCUGUCAGGUUCUACCUGACCGAGUUGUAAUUUGAAGAUGGCGUUUUCUGUGUUUCUGAUCAGUCCAAGUCCUUUGGGAUAAGGCAUCAUGGAGGGUGAGAAUCCCGUUCGGUUGAUCAGAUUCGCUUUACGAUACGUUAUCAAAGAGUCAAGUUGUUUGGGAUUGCAGCUUAAAAUGGGAGGUAAAUUUCUCCUAAGGCUAAAUAACGGCGAGAGACCGAUAGCGAACAAGUACCGUGAGGGAAAGAUGAAAAGAACUUUGAAAAGAGAGUUAAACAGUACGUGAAAUUGUUGAAAGGGAAACGAUUGAAGCCAGUCGUACCUUCGGGUAAUCAGCCUUUUGGGUGUGAUUUUGUGGAGUGUGAGGAGUUAAACGCCUUCAUGCCUGCAUAUUCGUGCACUUUGGGUGUAUUUGCCCGUGUGGUAAGUUAACAUCAAUUUUGGUGGUCAUAAAAUGGCUGGAGGAAUGUAGCUUCGAUCUCGUAUUGAAGUGUUAUAGCCUUCGGUAGAUGUGAUUAUCGGGAUUGAGGAUUGCAACGGAUACCCUUCGGGGCUACCUGUCUGAUCUCUGAUCGUUGCUCUGGUGCCGAAAGCUUGCUUACGGAUAUCAAAGUCGAUGGUCAAUAGGUUAGAACGGGUUAAAUUCGUUAAGGAUGUUG